UAUCCGGAAUUAUUGGGCGUAAAGGGCUCGUAGGCGGUUCGUCGCGUCCGGUGUGAAAGUCCAUCGCUUAACGGUGGAUCCGCGCCGGGUACGGGCGGGCUUGAGUGCGGUAGGGGAGACUGGAAUUCCCGGUGUAACGGUGGAAUGUGUAGAUAUCGGGAAGAACACCAAUGGCGAAGGCAGGUCUCUGGGCCGUCACUGACGCUGAGGAGCGAAAGCGUGGGGAGCGAACAGGAUUAGAUACCCUGGUAGUCCACGCCGUAAACGGUGGAUGCUGGAUGUGGGGACCAUUCCACGGUCUCCGUGUCGGACCAACGCGUUAAGCAUCCCGCCUGGGGAGUACGGCCGCAAGGCUAAAACUCCAAGAAAUUGACGGGGGCCCGCACAAGCGCGGACCUUGCGAUUA
rnacentral:rRNA from 1 species